UACGUAGGGCGCAAGCGUUGUCCGGAAUCAUUGGGCGUAAAGAGCUCGUAGGCGGCCUGUUGCGUCCGCUGUGAAAUCCCGGGGCUUAACCCCGGGCGUGCAGUGGAUACGGGCUGGCUGGAGGCAGGCAGGGGAGAACGGAAUUCCUGGUGUAGCGGUGAAAUGCGCAGAUAUCAGGAGGAACACCGGUGGCGAAGGCGGUUCUCUGGGCAUUACCUGACGCUGAGGAGCGAAAGUGUGGGGAGCGAACAGG
rnacentral:rRNA from 1 species